CAAGAGUUCUUGGUCAAGACAAUGCUGUUGCUGCAAAUAACGUAAGCAAGUGGACUGGCACAGUCUAUAUGUGUUCUCUUAUUGGAGCUUUCCUCAGUGAUUCAUACUGGGGCCGUUACUUGACCUGUGCACUUUUUCAGCUUAUCUUUGUUGUGGGGUUGCUUCUCUUAUCGCUGUCGUCUUCGAUUUUCUUGAUCAAACCGAAUGGCUGUGGUGAUGAGGUAGUAGCUUGCACGCCAGCAUCGCCCGUUGGUGUAGCAAUAUUCUACUUAUCAAUAUACUUAGUAGCCUUUGGAUAUGGUGGACACCAACCCACUAUAGCUACAUUUGGAGCAGACCAAUUUGAUGAGCAGAAACCUAAAGAAAAGAGUUCAAAAGCAGCUUUCUUCUGCUACUUCUACUUUGCACUCAACUUUGGAUCUUUAUUCUCAAACACCAUUUUGGUAUACUAUGAAGAUUCUGGUGAAUGGACACUUGGGUUCCUGGCAUCAUUAGGCUCUGCAGUCAUAGCCUUAGUAUCAUUUUUACUGGGGAGUCCUGGGUACAGGUACACAAUACCCUGUGGCAACCCUUUGCCUCGAGUUGCUCAGGUAUUUGUAGCUUCAGCUAGGAAAUGGGAUGUUAUUCCUUCUAAUGCUGAUCAACUGUAUGAAGUAGAAGGACCAGAAUCUGCAAUCAAAGGAAGCAGAAAGAUUCUUCACAGUAAUGGGUUCGAGUUCUUGGACAAGGCAGCAACCAUGACAGAGGAUGAUCUGAUGCACCAAAAUGAUCCAUGGAGGCUCUGCACUGUAACUCAAGUUGAGGAGGCCAAAUGUGUCCUAAAAAUGUUACCUAUUUGGCUAUGCACUAUAAUUUACUCGGUUGUCUUCACACAGAUGGCUUCCCUCUUUGUUGAGCAAGGAGAUGUCAUGAGCUCUAAUUUUGGAAAGUUUCACCUCCCAGCAGCUAGCAUGUCUGCUUUUGAUAUCUGCAGUGUCCUUAUUUGCACUGGAAUUUAUCGCCAAAUCCUGGUGCCCUUAGCAGAAAAGUUAAGCGGCAAUCCUAAAGGCUUAACUGAGCUUCAAAGAAUGGGAAUUGGGCUCAUUAUUGGAAUGUUUGCAAUGGUUGCAGCAGCUGCCACUGAGAUUGAGAGGCUCAAACAUGUUACUCCAGGCCAAAGGAUAAGCUCUUUAAGCAUAUUUUGGCAAAUCCCACAAUAUGUACUUGUGGGUGCUUCAGAGGUUUUCAUGUAUGUAGGUCAGCUAGAGUUCUUUAAUGGGCAAGCACCAGAUGGGAUAAAAAGCUUUGGAAGCUCACUUUGCAUGGCUUCAAUCUCUCUUGGAAACUAUGUCAGUAGCUUGCUGGUUAAUAUGGUAAUGGGGAUUACAGCUAGAGGUAAGAAGCCUGGAUGGAUCCCAGAUGACUUGAACAAAGGCCAUAUGGACAGAUUCUACCUCCUGAUUGCAGUGCUUACAGCUUUUGAUUUUGUCAUCUAUUUGUUCUGUGCAAAUUGGUACAAGCCUAUCAAUCUCCAAGGAAGUGAGAAGGAAACUGAAAUGGAGAAACAAGAAGGUGAUGUGCUAGCAAGAAUUUGAUACUGAUGAAAUGGAGGGGCCAAAUCAAUUAGAUCAAGUCUUCUUUCUCUUUGUGCAAGUAUCAUUCUAAUAAGCAAUUGUUUAGGAUGAUCUCCAUUUCUGCAAGAAGGAAGCAUGACCUUUGUUUCUUAGGGAUGAUUGCUUUCUUCUCAGGAUACAUAGUAGGAUUUGAUAUGUUGUCAAGUUUGGUUAUGUUUGUUUUUCAAGCUUGAAGUUUCAUGGAGGUUAACAGUGGAAUGCAUAUUUU
rnacentral:misc_RNA from 1 species